rnacentral:lncRNA from 1 species
CACCAGGCCAAAAGAAGCGAAAGUUGAGUGAAAGUAACGCUGAUCUACGCUCAGCGUUAAUAGAUGCGUUGAAGCAGCCUGUAGCGCAAGUAGAUGCAGUCGAUGGCAUGCUGCUUCGGUUAGGCGAAGGCCUGUGAAGACUUCCAUACCGCGAGAGAACGGCUUUGGAAAUUGAAUUUCUAACUAUGCUCAUGGAAGUCGAGGAGAGGCUGAACUUGCAAGACUGAAAUGGGAUUCUGGCAGACUUAUUUAUUAUUAUUUUUUUAUAAACUGCGUUUAAAUAAUCCGUCUGUUCUUUUUAUACACUACCGAUAAGUUUACAGUUAUUUAUAAAUACACAG